AGGGUUAUGACACUAUAGUUGGGGAACGAGGCAUUCAAUUAUCUGGUGGGCAGAAGCAACGGGUUGCAAUUGCCAGGGCAAUACUAAAGGAGCCAAAAAUAUUGUUGUUAGACGAGGCAACAAGCGCACUGGAUGCGGAAUCAGAGAGAGUAGUCCAAGAUGCAUUGGAAAGAGUCAUGGUGAAUCGAACAACCAUUGUUGUAGCUCAUCGAUUGUCGACGAUCAAAGGAGCUGAUAUGAUAGCAGUUGUUAAGGAUGGAUCAAUCGUUGAGCAAGGAAAGCACGAUAGUUUGAUUAAUAUCAAGGAUGGAGCUUAUGCUUCCUUGGUUUCUCUCCAUACUAGUGUCCCUGAUGCUACCAUUUCGUCAAUAUAGUAUAUUUCAUUAGAUAUGCGGAAAUAAUUUAAAUUAUUCGAUAUAUGUAUUUAUUUAAACUCAUUUUAACCUUUGUUUUAUAAUAAUUUACAUUCAUGAUAUUACACGAUAUAUUUUAUUUUAUCUCUAAUAGGGUUGGGUUUAUUCCCAAAUCUUCCCUGCCUCCUACCAGAAUCAUUAAUAUAUGUGGUAUCUCACCAAGUUAGAGUGAAGAUCAUCAGCUCGCAUGCUUGAAUGAUUUAUCAUCACACCAUUCACACCCAAUCUCCCUUUUUAUUUAUCUAAGGAUGCAACCCAUCGUAAUGCUAGAUAGCAUCAUUCCUUGGCUCGAUUUAAGUCUGGCAUUGGACUCUCAGGAAUUUUCACUCUCACACCAUGAGAGUAUAAAUCUGAAUGGACCUAGCUUGGCACGUACGUUGGUUGAGUUUUUAUUCCUGAUUUGAAGGUAUUACUCUCUGCUCAUUAUCUCUCAUUUUCCUUUCCGAUUCUUUUAUACUUGUUACUCUUCAAUUCUCUGAUUAUCUUUGGAUUGGGAUAAUCCAUCUGCAUUUAACUCGAUUAACUCUGGUGAAUUCCAGAUCUUCAAUUGGAUAUUGUUUCAUUGAAUUUCACCACUCAGAUUUGUUGAUCACUACUCGAUCACCAGAUCUGAUCUCAAAGAUACAUUCCAGCCUACAUUAAUAUGGAAUAAGGAUUGAAAAUUCUCCAUCAAUUAAUGAGAGCAUUUCACAUGGAUUAAGUUUUUCACUUUAAAUCUUGAUCAUUGACGUGUCCUUGCCUAGAGUAUUAAUCUUUACAUUCCAAUGGCAUUGCCAAUGUUCAUAUUAAUUAUUAAGUGAUUUCUUUACAAUGGGAUAUCCAGUGAUUCUGAUAUGUUUUGGACUUCUAAUGCACUAGAUUAUCAACCAAUAUUAUUUUGGACGAUGCAUUUAAUUCUGUCAAUUUGGACAAUGUAUUUUUCGAUGACAUUUUACAAUAAGUUGUCGAUUAAGAAACUUCAGUGAGGUUAUUUACACUCAAUUUCAGUAUCGUUGUUAUUAAAAAUAUUAAACCUCUAGGAUAUAUAUUUUGGUGUAGAAAAUCGGGAAGAUUAUCUACUGCAAUGUAACAGUAAAUAAAAUACCUCUGGAAUCCACCAGAGAAGAAGAACCAUAUAUGGAUUCCAUCAGAUGAUGCAAGAAAAGAAAAUAGCAAUUCGAGAGAAGGAGAAAAGCAAGAUUUAGUGGAAAUAAAGUACCUGGAAAAAGUGUAAUAAUAUGCUAAUUCCCCCUUCUUUAGACCUUUAAUACUAACAUCUCAGAAGGUGGAGGGGAACCUGUGAGAUGUGCCUAAGGAAGUAGAGAGUUAAUUGUGCUCCUUGCUACAAAAAUGGCACAAUUAGGAUUAGCCUUAACUAGAUGUACUAUAUCAUAUUAAUUUCCAUAAAACAAAAGAAAUACAUUGUUGUUUGGAUCGCACAAAUCCUUACCUUAUAUAUUUUCUAUUUGUUGGUGUGUAGGUUCGUAGGGUGGGAGCGUGCACACACAACUCUCAAGUCCUUACUUCGCUCUCAGAAUGUCAACCCCCUCCCCAGUUGGAAUAGGGGAGGCAUUUAUAGCGUUUUCCUAAGAGGCUCCUGGGUUUCGUGGGCCUUCUCUCAUCCGGUCCACAUGUGCCCUUAGGCCUGCUGACGACUGGUUCGGUCCAUGGACUGUUGGGUGGUACAUGGCACCAACAGUACCCCCCCGGGCCGGGGGCCGUCCGACAGUGCUGGGCUUCUCACCCUCCUACUGAGCCGUCUUUAUGACGUCUCGAGGUUCGAGCUACUUUCCCCUUCACUUUCUCCCUAUAAAUAGGGUAUCGAUGGUUUGCUCUCUUCUAUCCUCUCCUCUUUUACGAUGAGCGUCCAAGACAUCCUGGAAGAAUACGACCGUGAAGUGCAGCUUCAGCACGCCGCGUGGGCCGAAUGCCUACUGAUGCCCACCGGCGUCUUCCACACCAUAGCCGUGUCGGAAACCCAGCGACUCAACUCUGUGCUGAUAGAUAUUCACCGCCGUCUCUCCCGGUUCCGUCGUUCCGAUCUUCUUGCUGGUGUUGGGACCUCCGCCGUAGCUCCUGCCGCUGCCCCUGCUGGUGCCGUUACGUCGAGCUUCCGUUGCUCCGUGCACGCCGCUCCGGACGGAACUCCCGGCCGUCGGUCGCGCGGCCAUCGUUGUUCCGUGGGUCCUCGUCUCUUCCGGCUACUGACCUGCGCCACUUCUUUUCGGGGUUCUCGAAGUCGGGUCGUUAAGCCCGCCUUUGGGCGGUCCGCGCCCGUUCUCGUGCCUCUUCAUCCGACGGGGUCGUCUUCGGGCGACGCCUCGUCCGUUCCCCGGCCUUUGCGGGCGUGGUGCCUGGGAUGCCCCUGACGUCCUUGGCAUUGGCAUUUUUAUCCCUUUUGUAACUUGUUGCUUGGACUUGUGACCUUUGCUGUAUCCUUUGUCGUUGUAAUUUUCGCCCGUUAAUGUGAUGUUGAACUUUCCGCCUUAGCUGUAUUGGUAUUUUGAAUUUGCUUUUUUCUUUAUUUGCGUGUUCGUGCAGUUUUUUGCUCUUCGACGUCCUUCGUUGACAUCGCCAGGGCCUUUCUCGAGCUUCGCUUGUCUUUCGAUUCUCUGACAAUUUCCGAUUUCUCCGACUAUCCCUCGUCGUUUGGGCCAGCCCCCUCCUGCAUUGGUGCUCUUCGCCCGUCCUUCGUUCUGCCCCGUUCUGGGUUCUCCCGCCUGUUACUCGGUUUCACUCGACAUGUCGGUCGGUCCUCUUGGCCUGCGUUUGUGCGCGUAUCGGGCUUCUCCGGGUUCCUUCGCCCGCGGCUUUCGUGCGGUUGGGCUCGCAACGUGCCCCAACGCCCGACUGCCUGGGCUGUUAGGCUUUUCGCCCGAAGUCACCCCACGCCCCCGUCGUUCCUGCCGGGUGCCGUCUUUUGUCCUAUUCCCCGAUGAUUUGGGCCAUGGGCCUCCAUGACUUCUUGGCCCGUAUCGAAUUAACAAUCCCAGGUACUCACGACGCCUCGUCUUCUGUGCCUACCCCCACUAUAUAUAUUCCUCUGCCGCUCAUUUCGCUCACUUUCCACACUUUCACUCCCGCUCUCCUUUUCUCUCACUCUCGCCUUCCUUCUUCUUUUAGGUUCUCCAUGGCCGCUCAUCCGUCGACCACCGGCUUCGCCGCAGCCAAUGUCCCGUCGGGCUUGUUUGAUACUCCCGACAUAAAGAAUCCUCCGACCACCGUUACUGCUGAUGCGAUUCGCGAAUCGCUUGGUCGCAUGGGCCAGGGCAGCCUCGCCUUUGAUGAAGUUGGCAGUCGGCUCGCUUCCCGUCCGCCGGAUGGCAUGGUGGCCCUAUACACCUCCUACAUUGACUGUGGCCUGAGGCUGCCACUCUCUUCCUUCCUAAGUGAAAUGGUGCGUUUCUGCAAGGUCUCCUUCUCUCAAAUCCCUCCGGCUGCCCUCGACUGCCUGUUGACGUUUUCGCUGCUCUGCCGCCGGUGUGGGAUUGAAGCUUCGUUGGCCGUGUUCCGCAUCUGGUUCCAGAUAAUGUCGAUGCCCUCGGACCCCCGGCGCAUGCUAAUCUCCCAGUGUGCGGGGUUUCCCUUGUUCGAUCAUAUGUCUGAUCGGUCUCACAAUUGGCGCGACCGAUUCUUCUUCGUGUCGUUGGAGGCUCUUGGGCCGAUCGACCUCGAUUCGCCGCCGCCGACCCACUGGGAACUCCUCACUCAGUUGAAAACUCGCACCACCCCUGUCGCCAUUGCCGACUUGAAGGGCCAGCAGAGGAACGCGCAUGACGUGCUAAUUAACGUCUUUCACCGGGGUUCCGUGAGCGUUCGGGAGCUGGUUUCGACUUGGUCUUACGAUGAGCAUAUGAAGAAGCCCAUUCGGACGGACUACAAGAAGGAUGAUCCGCCGAAGCGUCCGGCUAGUAAGAAGCGGGUUGUUGAUGAGACCUGGUUCCUGACUCUUUCGCCUCCCUUGUCUCCGCAACCCGAGCCUGAGCCCGAUGCUGUGCUCCAAGAUUCCCGGGCCGAGAGGAGGAAAAGAAAAAAGAUUCGGUCCGAAAAGAAAAAGUUGGAGGAACCCACGUCUUCGCCGCCUACUCCUCCUUUCGCUGAGAAUUCAUACGACGCACGACGCAUUCUCCUGUCCCAAGGUCUGGACCCCGAACACUUUAAGGUACUUGUUGAAUCCUGCGAGCAGCCGUCCAAGGAUCCUGUUUUUCUCGCUGGGGUUGACCCCUCUUCGUCCGUUCCUCGCGCUGUCGGGAUUUUCUUGAACAAACUUUCGUCUGUUGAUUCCUAGUUGCUGCAAGAGGACGAAUACGUGAAGCAGUUCACCCGUGCGCCUCCGGAGCUUGACCGCGACUUCUAUCAUCAGAUGCUUCAGCUUUCUGUUCUCUCUAAGGUACGCUUGCAGCGGGGCCUUGACUAGGCUGAAGAAAUGGCGAAGCUGUGCGAUAAAGUUGGCUGUCUGACGAGUGACCUCGAGGUUGUUUCCCAGGAAAGGGAUCGGUUGGUGGAAGGUGCUUCUAAGCUUGCGGAGGAGCAUCGACUCCAUGUGGUCGAGGUUGAGAUUACUUGUAUGGCUGCUGAGGAGAAGGUCCUGGUGACGUUCCUGCCCGGUUUUGAGACGUGUCUUGCUGAAAUAAAGUUGGACCAUGCGACUGAGUGCAGGGAUGCGAAGCGUGCCGACUUCUGGAAAGGUUAGGUGCAUGGACGGGCCAUGUGCACUUUUGUUCACCCCCUCUUGCGGAACUCGUGGUGCCCCGGAGCGUUCGUGACUGGGAUAACUGGAAAGUUACGGACGGUCCUGACUACCAGCCCCCCAUGGACGCGAGCGAGGGUGAAGAGGAGGAUCUUGAAACCGACUUCCCCGAGUACACUGAUCCACCUCCCCUAGACUAGCUUACCUGUUUUCCUGUAAUUCCUUUUGUGCUUUUUGUAUGGUUUCAAUCUUGGACACUUAACUACUUUUUUUCUUUUUUUGCAAUUUUUCGCUAUCGCGUUCUUAAUUAUUGUCCGUUUUUCUUUUAGGGGCGGCCUGGGCCUGCCAAACGUCCCCGUGUGGUCUUCUGACCUUGGGUACCUUCGGCCGGCUUUAACGGCGGACCCCCUUUUCGGUUUAUUGUUUCCCGUUCGCUCCUGUUGUGAUAAUCGGGCGUUCUGCACGCGCCGGGUUCCUCCUUAUCCUCUACCCCCCCACUUUGGUUCUUGGAACAAGGGAAAAGGAAAUAGUUCUUAAAAACAAGUGGGCAAUCCGGGUGCUUUGUAUUAGGCGUUGUUCGUUGUAAUAAAAAAAAAACGAAAAGGUAAAACGAACACAACGCCUCGGACUUCAGCGCUUGUAUUUUUCCAGGUUAUCGGCGUGGCAGGUCCUUUCUAUCUCCUGCCCGUCUUCGUAGCCGAGGCGGAAGAUGCCUGGGAGGACAUCGUCCAUGAUGACGUACGGGCCCUUCCAUCUUGCCGAGAGCUUUCCCUUUGUCUGGUCCACCCCCGUUACUUUGGCGUUCCUUAGUACUAGGUCGUCCGGCGUCAGGUUCUUCUCGGCUACCCUCUCAUUGUGGUAUCUCGCCACUCUUCGUUUGUAUGUGAGGUCCCUGAUGGUGGCAUCUUCUCUCCGCUCUUCUCUGUACUCGUUCACCGGGAGCAUUGCUCUAUCGUUCGCUCCUGGCUGGAACUGCUCGAUCCUAGCUGUCGGCCACACAAGCUCGAUUGGGGCGACUGCUUCGAUCCCGAAUACGAGGGCGAAUGGCGUUUGGCCUGUGGGAGUUCGGAUGGUUGUGCGGUACGCCCACAUAGUUUCGGGGAUCUUGUCCGCCCAGUUGCCCGGGUGCUCGCCCACCUUUCUUUUCAAGAUGGAGAUGAUGGUCCGGUUUGUCACUUCCACCUGCCCGUUCGUUUGCGGGUGGUAUACCGGCGCGAAACUCAGCUUGAUCCUGCUGUCUUCGCAGAAUUCUCUUAGCUUCUUCCCUGUGAAUUGCGUCCCGUUGUCCGUUAUUAUUUGGAUCGGGACUCCGAAUCGGCAUAUGAUGCUCCUGAAAACGAAGUUCACCACGUUCUGCUCGGUGAUCGUGUUCGUGACCUCCGCCUCGGCCCAUUUCGUGAAAUAAUCCACUGCCACGAAGAGGAACUUCCUUCCUCUUGACGUCGGCGGGAAAGGGCCUACGAUGUCGAUUCCCCAUCGUGCGAACGGGACGACUUUCAUCAUAGUGGACGGUCGCCUCUGGACGUUCGAGUGUCGCUGGCAUUCGUCGCAUUUGUCCACUAUUUCCUCUGAGUCUUUUAUUGACUCGGGCUAGUAAUAGCCUUGCCUGGCCACCUCCUUUUCUAGCGUCCGUCCACCCUGGUGGGCCCCGUUCGCACCCUCGUGGAUGCUUUGUGCGAUGGCCUUGCCGUCUUCUCGGGAAACGCAUAGCCGAAGGGGAGCCUCUUCCGCAACAGAUCGGUGGUACAGUUUGUCUUGUGCCAUUGCGAACCAUGCCACUCGGUUUCUCAGCUUUCUGGUUUCCAUGGGAUUUGUUGGCUUUUCGCCCCAUUCAAUGAAUCUUAUGAUCGGGGUUCUUCAGUCCCCCGAGGUUAUUAGCCCCGGGGUGCCUUGGUUGCGGGCUUCAUCUUACCCAGUACCUUUGCUAGGUUCAGGCAUUCGGCCGUCGUGUAGCCGUUGUCCUGGUGGUACUCGCAAUACCGAUUGGCGUCCCUGAACGUGCCAUAUCCUUUCUCAUUGGCCUCGCUGGAGGUAGAGCCUCCGUCCCAUCUAGGGUGAGGAAGACCUGCCGCUGGCGUUGGCCCCAUCUCCUUUCGGCCGCCCCCUCCGGGCGUGCCCGUUCUGCAUGCUGCUGCCUGUGGCGCGGUUGGGGGCUUGUGUUGCGGUUGCUGUUGUUGUUGCUGCUGUUGCUGUUGUUGUUGUCCCCCUCCUCCGGGGGGGAUGCCCCUUCCCUUCUGCUGUUGCCUGUGUUCCUGGGUUUUCGUCCCCAGGUAGUCCUCCACGUUGGACUCUCCGUGGGACCUUUCCAUGGCUUCUGCGAAUAUUGUCGGGGCGUCCCCCGCGAAGAAAGUGGGCCUCAGGCCGACGCUGAGGGCGUGCAGGACCGUCUCCUCGUGCAUCCCCUCGAUUUUCUGGAUUUCGCCCGCGAAUCGGUCCAUGUAUGCGCGCGUACUCUCGAACUCUCCCUGCAUGGUGGCGUUGAGGGUGGCUCUAUACUUGGGCCUCCUUCGCUGGUGUGCGAACGCCGUCUUGAAUAGUUUUACCAGGUCUUCGUAGGUAUAGACGGACCCGGCGGGUAACGUCUUGUACCACACGAUCGCGUCGCCCGUGAGGGCCCUCCAGAACAUCCGGCACCAGAUGUCCUUUCUGUCCUCCAUGUUGGUUUUAAAAGAGUGGAGGUGGUCCUUCGGGUCGGUGUCCCUCUUGUAGUAGGGAAUCUCCGGGGCUCUCUAGCCGAGGGGGUACUCCUCGUCUAGCAGAUGCUGUGCUAGAGCCUCCCCUGCUCCGCACGCUGCCAGGGCUGUACUGCACCUGGGUUCUCCCGUGGGGAUUGCGCCGUUCCCAGGCUUUCCGAUCGGGGCUGCCCCGCCUGCGGGUCCCCGCCUCCUGCUCCGUCUGACUCCAGGGUGUGGGGGGCGAUCAUGAGCUGAUGGACCUGCUCUUGCAACUGACGCUGGCUCUCUUGCAGGGCCGAUACCAACUUCGUGAGUUUUUCGUUCUCCCGCUUGCUCUCUCUCUCCGCGCGCUCCCUCUGAUGGAGUCUCUCCCGUUGUUUCUCCGCGCGCUCUUUUCGGCAGAGUUUUUCGUACUCCUUUUCCCUUCUCCUCUUCGUGGGAGAUGGGGACCUGCUCGGCCUUCUCCCCCUGGGCGGGGACGGGGAUCCGCUCGACCUGUUUCUCCUGGGUGAGUUUUUCCCGUGCCUUAUCUCCUCCAUGCGCAGCCUCUCCUCCUGAGCCCUUAGUUCCUUGGCGUGACGCUCUCGCCCGUAUAUUGAGGCGGGCUCGUAUUCCUCCGUAUCCGGUCCUGCCUCCUUCCUCACGUCAGGUGUUUUUUCCAGCCCAUAACGUCCAUCCCUCGAGUUUUCUUCUCUGUGAAAGUUGCUUCCCAUCGCCAUCCUCUUCCUUUGCACCGGCUGUUGUGUUCGAUUCACGUCAGGUUCACCACUGUUGGUGUGUAGGCUCUCAAGUCCUCACUUCCGCUCUCAGAAUGUCAACCCCUUCCCCAGUGGAAAUAGGGGAGGUAUUUAUAGUGUUUUCCUAAGAGGCUCCUGGGCUUCGUGAGUUCGUGGAUUCUCUCAUCCGGCCCACACGUGCCCUUGGGCCUGCUGACGACAGGUUCGGUCCAUGAACUGUUGGGCGGUCCACGGUACCAACACUAUUUAUGUGUCACAAAACAUAUAUUCUAGAAUUUUCAUGAUAAAUUAUUAUUAAUUAAUAUAUUUAGAUUUAUUUCCUAAUCAGGUAAAUUUAUUUUUAAAUCGGUUACUGAUUUACCAUGCAUAUGGGUUAAUUAUUUCUUAAUAUGGAUAAAUUGUUUGAUAAAUUCUCUAUAUAAGAGGGAAUGAUCGAUCAAUCUUUAUCUUUCUAGCUUUGUCUUUUGUUUCUGCAUCAACGAAUAUAAGAAUUAAGAAACUCGUAGAAAUGAGCAGUGAAGAAAUGGAAGCAAAUGGAGGAAUACACUCUAACAAAGGUGGUACAUCGAUUAAAGCAAGAAAAAAUACUUCUUUAAAGAAUGAGGGGAAUAAAGGUGAAGAGGUCAAGCCUAUAAUUCCAUUCUACAAGUUGUUCUCGUUUGCGGACCGUAUUGAUAUAAUCUUGAUAAUUAUUGGUACAAUCGGAGCAAUCGGAAAUGGAAUUUCAAUACCCCUUUUUGCUGUUCUUUUUGGAAAUUUUGCAAACUCAUUUGGAAAUAAUUCAAAGUCGACCAACCACUUAUUCAUCGAUGAAGUUUCUAUGGUAAGUACACAGCAUAUGUUAAAUUUCUUUAAAAUAAAUUAGAUUUAUCGAAAAUCGAUAUCAUGAAAAUCUAAAAAAAAUCACUUUCUCUUUCAAUCCUUCAAUUAGGUUUCUUUGGAUUUCGUAUAUUUGGGCAUUGGAAUGUGUGUGGGAUCUGCCCUACGUAAGUAUAUAUUUUAUAAUAAAUAAUAUAGUUAUAUAUUUAGAUAUAUGUCAUCCUCUAUUAUUUAACUAAUUGAAUUUCACAUAAAUAAUUUUGUGCAUAUGUAUUUUUAGAGGUAAUAUGUUGGAUGAUAACCGGUGAAAGACAGACAUCUCGAAUCAGGAAUUUGUACUUAAAAACUAUUCUAAGACAAGAGAUUGCAUUUUUCGACAAAGAAAUCAACACUGGUGAAGUAGUUGAACGAAUAUCGAGUGAUACUUUUAUAAUUCAAAAGGCCAUCGGUGAGAAGGUAUCCAACUAUCUAGAUUCUAGAUCAAUCAACAUACUUAAUUUUAGUUAUGUUACUAUUAAAAAUAUCACCUGAUUGAUAAUGUGAUGCAAACCUUUAUUGUCAUAUAUAUAUUAAACCACUUUAAUAAUUCCUUCUUCUUAGUAUUUGAUCAACAUACAUGGAAUAAGACAGAUCUUAUUUUUUUUAUGAUUUUAGACUUAAUUAUUUGAUGUUUAAAUUUAUUAAUAGGUUGGAAAGUUCAUUCAGUUAGUAACGUCGUUUGUUGGGGGUUUCAUCAUUGCAUUUUUCCGGGGAUGGUUGCUAUCUCUGGUUAUGAUGGUAUCCAUUCCUCUGGUAAUCGUUUCUGGUGCUUUAAUUGGAAAAGUUGUUGGUAAAGCAUCAUCACGAGGACAGGCUGCUUAUGCAGAAGCUGCAAUUACUGUAGAACAAACUAUUAAUUCGAUGCGGACGGUAUGUAUUGUUUACUUGAAUUUCAAAAAAUAGGCAAUUUCUCAAAUAAUCUAGUUUGCUUAAAAAUUUGAUUCAGGUUGCGUCUUUUAAUGGUGAAAAACAAGCCAUUGAUAAAUAUAACAAGUCACUUGAUAAAGCUGCAACUACAAAUAUCCGUCAAGGGUUUACUUCUGGAUUAGGCAUAGGAAUUGUGUUAGCUUCCAUGUUUUGUACAUAUUCCUUGGGUAUUUGGUAUGGAGGAAGUUUGAUUCUUAAAAAUGGUUAUGAUGGUGGAAAAGUCAUCAAUAUCAUUUUAAUUAUUUUGUCUUCUUCUAUGUAAGUUGAUUUUUAUUUUUCUUAACAUGUAUGCAUUUUUAAAUUAAAGGGGGGGAUGAGAGAAGGAAAAAAACUAUUUUGAAAUUGUGAUUUGAUUGAAAUGAAAUUUCAAUUUAAUUUACAGGUCUUUGGGACAGGCAUCAGAAAGCAUUGUUGCAUUUUCAGCAGGACAAGCUACAGGAUACAAGAUGUUUCAGAUAAUCAAUAGAAAACCAGAGAUAGAUUCUUUUGAUGAUUUUGGGAAAACGAUGGACGAUAUUCGUGGAGAUAUUGAAUUAAAAAAUGUGGUUUUCAGCUAUCCAACAAGAGCGAAUGAGAAGAUAUUUUCAGGAUUCUCUCUAUCCAUAAACAGUGGGAUGUCUAUUGCAUUAGUUGGUGAAAGUGGGAGUGGAAAAUCCACAGUUAUUUCUUUGAUAGAGAGAUUUUACGAUCCACAAUCUGGGCAAGUUCUGAUAGACGGUAUAAAUCUCAAGAAGUUUCAAUUGAGAUGGAUUAGGAAAAAAAUCGGGCUUGUAAAUCAAGAACCUGUUUUAUUUCCAUCGAGCAUUAGAGAAAAUAUUGCAUAUGGGAAGGAUGAAGCAACUCUUCAAGAGAUUAAAGUUGCAGCUAAACUUGCCAAUGCUUCAAAAUUCAUUGAAAAAAUGCCUCAGGUUUGUCGAUCUCAAUCCAUGUCAACAAGGUGGUUAAUUUCUUACAAAAAAAUAAUAUUUUAAUUCAUUAGGGGUUUGAUACAAAUGUUGGGGAUCAUGGCACUCAACUAUCUGGUGGACAAAAACAAAGAUUGGCCAUUGCACGGGCAAUUUUGAAAGAUCCAAGAAUUCUACUUUUAGAUGAAGCCACGAGUGCACUUGAUGCAAAGUCUGAGAGAGUUGUUCAAGAGGCACUUGACAAAGUGAUGAAAAAUCGAACCACUAUCAUCGUCGCACAUCGAUUAAUUACUGUUAAAAAUGCCGAUAUGAUUGUAGUGAUUCAUCAAGGAUCCAUCGUCGAGAAAGGUAAAUUGAAAAAUACAUCCAAAAAAAUUUGUUUAUUAUGAUUCAUUUUUAUCUAAUUCAGAAAUCCACUAUACAUAAUUGGUUAAUUCUUAUAUAUAUUAGGGUCACAUUCAGAAUUAAUCCAUAAUCCAAAUGGAGCUUAUUCCCAGCUUGUACGACUUCAAGAAGGGAAUAGAUAUUCAAAUAUUAACGAUCUAAAAAAAAGCCAUUCAUUGAGAAGACAUUCAAGUUUAAAAAAUCCAUCGGCACAUCGACCUUUUAGUCGAAAUUCUUCAUUGAGAAGGCAUACAAGUUUAAAAGAGUCAUUACAAGAUCGAUCUAUCAGCCGAAAUUCCUCUAUGAGGGAUGCCAAUCAAUUUUCUUUAGUACCUACUGGAUUAUAUUCAUUUGUAUCGACCGACAUAUUGAGAUCCCAAGAACAGGAGCAGGAACAUGAACAAGAUCAGAAUCAUAAACCAACACCAAGAUUAGAAGUACCUAUUCGAAGACUUGCCAUUCUUAGCAAACCUGAAAUUCCUAUCAUUAUCUUAGGAGUAAUUCUUGCAAUAAUUGAAGGUCUGAUCAUGCCAAUAUUUGGAUUUAUCCUAUCUGGAUCAAUUAGCUCAUUCUAUGAAUCACCGUCUCGACUAAAAAAGGAAAUAAGUUUUUGGGCUUUGAUGUUUUUAAUUUUUGCCUUUGUAUCACUUAUCACAAUACCAGUGAAAUCAUACUUGUUUGCAGUUGUGGGAUCAAGAUUGGUGAAACGAGUUCGAACUAUGUGUUUCAAUAAGGUCAUUCACAUGGAGGUUGGAUUUUUUGAAAAAUCAGACAACACGAGUGGAGCAAUUGGUGCAAGACUUUCUACAGAUGCUGCUGCAGUUAAGAGUCUCGUAGAUGAUUUUUUGAACUUUAUUGUUAGGAGUAUUUCUACUUUGGUUGCCGGUUUGGUAAUUGCAUUCACUGCAAGUUGGCAACUAUCUUUAGUUGUAGUUGCAUUAGUUCCAAUUUUAGUUCUCAAUGGGUAUAUACAAAUGAAUUCUUUAAAAGGGUUCAGUGAAGAUGCAAAGGUUAUGUAUGAAGAUGCAAGUCAAGUGGCAAAUGAUGCAGUGGGAAAUAUCAGAACAGUUGUUUCUUUUACUGCAGAAGAGAAGGUAAUGGAAUUAUACAAGAUGAAAUGUGAGGUACCAAUGAAAUCUGGGAUCAGAGAAGGUUUUGUUAGUGGUAUUGGCUAUGGGGUUUCUUUUUUUCUAUUGUAUUGUUCUCAUGCAACCAUUUUUUUUGUUGGAGCUAAACUUGUCAUUGCUGGAAAUAUAUCGUUUGCUGACAUUUUCAAGGUUUGAUCUUCUAGAUUAAUUACUUAGUUAUAAUUAUAUGUUGAUUCAAUUCUUUCAUCUUUUUAAGUUUUUUUAAUUAGGUCUUCUUUGCUCUAACAUUGGCUUCUUCGGGGAUUUCUUCAUCAAGUUCUUUGGCACCUGAUACUACCAAAUUCAAGUGUGCCGUGGCUUCUGUAUUUGCAAUUCUUGAUGGAAAAUCAAAGAUCGACUCCAAUGAUAACUCGGGAAUAAUAUUAGAACAAGUAAAAGGAAGUAUCGAAUUUAGACAAGUUAAUUUUACAUAUCCUACUAGACCAACUAUUCAAAUAUUCAAGGAUGUUAACUUCAAAGUGCAUUGUGGAAAGGUAUGUUAUUUAUAAAUAAAUAAGAUUGAUCGUCCAUUUAAUCCUGACUGCAUAUCCAUAUUUUGAGGAAUUUAGAGGUUUUUCAUUAUGCUAUAAAAUAAUUGCAACCAUUAACUAUUUAGGUAACUGCUUUAGUUGGAGAAAGUGGAUGUGGAAAAUCAACUGCAAUAUCAUUACUUCAACGAUUUUAUGACCCCGACUCUGGUCAUAUUUUUCUAGACGGAAUUGAUACAAAAGAAGUUAAUCUUAAAUGGUUGAGACAACAAAUAGGUCUAGUUAGUCAGGAUCCAGUAUUAUUUAAUGACACGAUCAGAGCAAACAUAGCAUAUGGUGGAAAGGAAGGCGAGGCUACCGAAUCGGACAUCAUCGCAUCUGCAGAAUUUGCAAAUGCUCACAGAUUCAUAAGUGGCUUGGAACAGGUUAGAUUACAUUUGAUAAAGUCGUGAAUUCUAUACAUUUAUUCUUUGUUUUCUAUUAAUGUCUGCAGGGCUACGAUACUAUAGUUGGGGAACGAGGAAUACAACUGUCUGGUGGACAAAAACAACGAGUUGCAAUUGCCAGGGCAAUACUAAAGGAGCCAAAAAUAUUGUUGUUAGAUGAGGCAACAAGCGCACUGGAUGCGGAAUCAGAGAGAGUAGUCCAAGAUGCAUUGGAAAGAGUUAUGGUGGAUCGAACAACCAUUGUUGUAGCUCAUCGAUUGUCGACGAUCAAAGGAGC
rnacentral:lncRNA from 1 species